AGUGAAAUGUGUUUUUUUACGGGAUCAGCCAUAAUAGUACGGUGCUCCUGGAGCAAAUUAGCGAUUAAAGUUCCUCGCUCAAGGGCACAUCGACAGAUUUCUCACCUCGUCGGCUCGGGUAUUCGAACCAGCGACCUUUCAGUUACUGGCAAAGGGGUAACAUCCCGGCUCUAUGUACAUAUACUGUACCAUGCAGGGUUCAAUCCCUGACAUCGUCUUUCCAACUUUUUAUCCAACUAUCCCACUCUUAUUUAGCACAAAAAAAAGAGAUUAGAGGGCUUCAGAUUAUUCAACACAAAAACCCAAGGCAACCAACCAGCUGCAAUACGAUUUCUAGUUACAUUUGGGCAUGUUGAAUUGUAUUUUCAAUCAACCUAAAAUUCAAGCAAAUUUKUGAAUGUUGGUUGAGCUAAUAUGCCCAAAUGUUGCGCAAACAACAAAUGCUAUUGCAUCUGGUUGCCCUGAUUUUUGAAGCUGAAUCAACAAAAGAAAUUUACAGUGUGGGUAACUAGAUCAGAUGUUUGACAAUUUUCACUUCAAAUCUAGAGUGAAAUCCAGGUUGUGGUUUCCACUUUGAAGAACAAACUAGAAAACAAGAACACAGCCAAGAUGUGUCAUCAAAGCUGGGUGGAGCACAUAAAGGGCCAGGCCCAAUUUGCAGAGGAGCAGAUCAGCAGGGAGUUUAAGAAACUCCACCAUUUCCUAGAUGAGGAAGAGACAGCCAGGAUAGCUACCCUGAGAGAGGAAGAAUGGCAUAAAUCUGAAGUGAUGGAAGAAAAAGCUGAGGCAUUGACCAGAGAGCUCACAACCCUUUCAGAGACGAUUGUAGUUAUCGAUAAGGAAAWGGAAGUUGACAAUAUCACAUUCCWGCAGGUAAGGGGUCUGUCAAAAUGUUAAAAAUCCCAUUGCUGUUAAACUGUUUCUCUCACAGUCGCCUGAUAUUAAAAGUGACGUUUGUCCUCGUUCUUUUUUUUAGAACUACAAGGCCAUACUUAACAGGUAAAUCACUUUUUUUUUUUAAGUGUCUAAAUUAUAAUAAUUUUUUCCAUUCCACUGACGCCAUCCAUUUUUUUACCAUAGAGCCGAUUGCACAUUCCCAGAUACUGAAGAUACUCAGGUAGUAUCAUGAGCACUGAUUGAUGUGGCCAAACAUGUGUGAUCUCUCAAGUUCAAAAUCUGGGAGAAGAUGCUUGAGUUUGUUGACUACACUCCUGUGACCAUGGAUCCGAACACAAUGUCCACUAAGUUCACACUCUCUGAUGACCUCACCACUAUGACAUACKGUGACGAGAGGCAGAGUCUCCCAGACAAUCCCGAAAGGUUUCAUAAUGUAGGAGUGUUGGGWUCUGAAGGGUACAGUAAMGSCAUCCAUUACUGGGAUGUGGAGGUUGGAGAUAAUGAUAACUGGAUCUUAGGAGUAGCCAAAGAGUCCAUUCCACGCAAGACGCAAGUCAAAAUGGAGCCUCAGAGUGGAUUGUGGAUCAUCAAACACAUCAGUGGGAAAUACAAAGCAGGUUUAAAAAUYGCUUGUCCAGAUUAAAGUAGAUSAGAGCCCACGAGUGAUCCGAGUACGACUGGGCUGUGACAAGGGGGAGGUGACAUUCUGCGACCUCACCAAGAACACUACUCUCUACACCUUCAAAGACAAAUUCACUGAAAAGGUGUUCCCAUACUUUAAUAGUGGAAGUUAGAUUUGCCCACUGCGCCUUUUUGUAGCGGGAAAAGCGAACACUAGCUAAUUGCCAGGGUSAAGUGAGGACAAAAUGUACAAACAUAUGCAAUUAUGUAAUGACUUUAUGUACUGACAUUAGCUGGAAGGUUGUGAAAAUUGUUUGACUAAAACUCCAUGUAGUUAAAACCUCUUAAGGAUCGGACCCUUUUCAAUUGUUGCCUAAAAUUACAUACUCAAAUUUAACUGCCU